GGAGAUGAGGCGUGUGUGAUGCUAUUUCUCCUCCUCCUUCAAGAUCACCACUCUCCUAAUAAAUGUCUGAGCUGAUACCAGCUGUCCUACCUGGGGAAUGGCAGCUUCCUCACAUGGAACAAGGAAGAGGAGAGAAGGUGCACCUCCAGCGCCCAGACACUUCCUGCACAAACAACUGGCAGCUACACUAUGAGCUUUGCUACUGUUUCUCCUGCUUUGGUAGCUGCUACUGUAGCAGAAAAUGCCUCCCCUGCUAAAACUGCUGGAGGAGAUCCCAGAGAACAUCAGGAACCCAGAAAGUGAUCAUUGCCAGAAGAUAGAGCUUUAGUCCAUUGUAUUUAGAACAGACAUUCAUUCUUGGAUUCACCUGCAAAGGACUGCAGAAACUGACCAUUCUAGGCUCUCUGAAAACACGGGCAGCAUCCAAGUUUUUUUCUGCUUGUUUCUCUCUCUUUCCUCUGCCAUUUCCACCUCCCAACACCACCCUAGAAGGGGAACUGAUGGCCUCCCUCCCUAUGUGAGGCAGACAGAUGGACACCAUGCAGGGAUACCACCAUAUUAGCAGCUGCCCCCCAGUGCAUCUUCUUUCCCUAUGUAGACUCAUUAAAGUUGUCUUUCUUCUGACUCCUCUCCCCUCUGUCCUAAUCUCCUAUGUGGCAAAUCUGCUCAGAAAAAUAAUGCAACUUUUUAGAGAAUAAUAGUUUUGGUGGACAGGGGGACUCUUCAUUAUUUCCAAAGUAAGGGACUUGCUGCAGUGGACUGUCUUUUGUGCCCUGUUCUUUUAAGCCCAGAAGGACAUCCCUGGCUACUCCCCAGUCAAUAGGCAAUAGACAAAAAGGUCUUUGCCUUUGCUGAGCUGUUUCUCUGCCUGCAUAAACUCCCUCUGUGUCCUGGAGCAUGC